GUUUUUCUCAACUAAAAUUGGUAUUGAUUUUCAUCUCUAUACUUGAGUUUUCUGAAUUUGAUGGGUUAGUCUUAUUUGGACCAUCCUAAAUAUCUGAUGCAUGCUUGGUAAAUAGUAAUUGGCAAGUGCAUUUACUUUCUUCUGUGUUCGUCAUUGAUUUGUUAUCUGCUCUAGAAGCUCUAAAUUAAGCAAGUUGUUGUAAAGGUAUAUUUAUAUUAUUGUCUUCAUUUUCCAUUUUGUUGUUGAUGAUAAUGCAUUUCUUUUGCUUUUAUCUGAUUGAGCUUAUAAUUCAGUAGUAAUGUUGAUAUGUUAAAAGAGUCAUUUCACAACUGCCACUAGUUUGAAUGAAUAAAGCAGAAGAUAGGACCAGACAAUGGUAAAAUUGACAAAGGUUGCAUGUUUCUGGUGCCUGUUUUACCGUCUAGUUUAUAGUGAUACCAUCCGCAUCACUAAAGGGGUGCUUUAUACCUUAUUUUAACUUCAUUAACAAUCAGUUAAUACAGUAACUAAGUUGCAAGUAAGAGCUGUAUUUUCACCUAUGCAUUUAUCUAGAUUGCACCUUCCAAGCUUGGGCUUUGUAUACUCAUUUUGUGGUACAACCAUGGCCUUAAAGAGGUUUUUAUGUGCAGUUUGCAGCCCUUUUGUUAUUAUUUUUCUGUUCAUUGAAUUGGGCUAUUUCUGAUUCAAUUGUUUUAUUUGUCCAUUGGUUCUCUAUGAAAAACAAAACAAUUUCGAUGUUUGAUUUUGAUAUUUAACACUAACAGUUGUAUUGCAACUUUCUGCAUUUGUAUUCCAAAUUCCUUUUUUUGUUGCAUGCAGAGAAGUAGCUUUAUUGCUGA
rnacentral:misc_RNA from 1 species